rnacentral:rRNA from 1 species
UUUACGACUCUCGACAACAGAUAUCUUGGCUCUCGCAUCGAUGAAGAACGCAGCGCAUCGAUGAAGAACGCAGCGAAAUGCGAUACUUGGUGUGAAUUGCAGAAUCCCGUGAACCAUCGAGUCUUUGAACGCAAGUUGCGCCCGAGGCUAUCCGGCCGAGGGCACGCCUGCCUG